UGGAAAUGUGGCCAGUGUGAAUGAAGAUU
rnacentral:piRNA from 1 species